UUAUCUGAACCUUCGGGGAACGAUAACGGCGUCGAGCGGCGGACGGGUGAGUAAUGCCUAGGAAAUUGCCCUGAUGUGGGGGAUAACCAUUGGAAACGAUGGCUAAUACCGCAUAAUGCCUACGGGCCAAAGAGGGGGACCUUCGGGCCUCUCGCGUCAGGAUAUGCCUAGGUGGGAUUAGCUAGUUGGUGAGGUAAUGGCUCACCAAGGCGACGAUCCCUAGCUGGUCUGAGAGGAUGAUCAGCCACACUGGAACUGAGACACGGUCCAGACUCCUACGGGAGGCAGCAGUGGGGAAUAUUGCACAAUGGGCGCAAGCCUGAUGCAGCCAUGCCGCGUGUGUGAAGAAGGCCUUCGGGUUGUAAAGCACUUUCAGUCGUGAGGAAGGUGGUGGUGUUAAUAGCACUAUUAUUUGACGUUAGCGACAGAAGAAGCACCGGCUAACUCCGUGCCAGCAGCCGCGGUAAUACGGAGGGUGCGAGCGUUAAUCGGAAUUACUGGGCGUAAAGCGCAUGCAGGUGGUUUGUUAAGUCAGAUGUGAAAGCCCGGGGCUCAACCUCGGAAUAGCAUUUGAAACUGGCAGACUAGAGUACUGUAGAGGGGGGUAGAAUUUCAGGUGUAGCGGUGAAAUGCGUAGAGAUCUGAAGGAAUACCGGUGGCGAAGGCGGCCCCCUGGACAGAUACUGACACUCAGAUGCGAAAGCGUGGGGAGCAAACAGGAUUAG
rnacentral:rRNA from 1 species